rnacentral:rRNA from 1 species
UACGUAGGGUGCAAGCGUUGUCCGGAAUUAUUGGGCGUAAAGAGCUCGUAGGCGGUCUGUCGCGUCUGCUGUGAAAACUCAGGGCUUAACCCUGAGCUUGCAGUGGGUACGGGCAGACUAGAGUGCGGUAGGGGAGACUGGAAUUCCUGGUGGUAGCGGUGAAAUGCGCAGAUAUCAGGAGGAACACCGGUGGGCGAAGGCGGGUCUCUGGGCCGUAACUGAACGCUGGAGGAGCGGAAAAGCAUGGGGGAGCGAACAGG